rnacentral:rRNA from 1 species
GACGAACGCUGGCGGCGUGCUUAACACAUGCAAGUCGAACGGAAAGGCCCUGCUUUUGUGGGGUGCUCGAGUGGCGAACGGGUGAGUAACACGUGAGUAACCUGCCCUUGACUUUGGGAUAACUUCAGGAAACUGGGGCUAAUACCGGAUAGGAGCUCCUGCUGCAUGGUGGGGGUUGGAAAGUUUCGGCGGUUGGGGAUGGACUCGCGGCUUAUCAGCUUGUUGGUGGUAGUGGCUUACCAAGGCUUUGACGGGUAGCCGGCCUGAGAGGGUGACCGGCCACAUUGGGACUGAGAUACGGGCCAGACUCCUACGGGAGGCAGCAGUGGGGAAUAUUGCACAAUGGGCGGAAGCCUGAUGCAGCAACGCCGCGUGCGGGAUGACGGCCUUCGGGUUGUAAACCGCUUUCGCCUGUGACGAAGCGUGAGUGACGGUAAUGGGUAAAGAAGCACCGGCUAACUACGUG